GCCGCGAACGGGUGAGUAACACGUGGGUUACCUGCCUUGAUGACCGGGACAACCCGAGGAAACUCGGGCUAAUACCGGAUGUGCCCGCAAGGGGAAAGGAAGCUUCGGCCUCCGCAUCAAGAUGGGCCCGCGGCCCAUUAGCUUGUUGGUGAGGUAACGGCUCACCAAGGCUUCGAUGGGUAGCUGGUCUGAGAGGACGAUCAGCCACACUGGGACUGAGACACGGCCCAGACUCCUACGGGAGGCAGCAGUGGGGAAUCUUGCGCAAUGCGCGAAAGCGUGACGCAGCAACGCCGCGUGGGGGAAGAAGGCUUUCGGGUUGUAAACCCCUUUCAGUUGGGACGAAGCUUCGUCGGUGAAUAGCCGGCUGGAGUGACGGUACCUUCACAAGAAGCACCGGCUAACUACGUGCCAGCAGCCGCGGUAAUACGUAGGGUGCAAGCGUUGUCCGGAAUCAUUGGGCGUAAAGAGCGUGUAGGCGGCCCCAUUAGUCCGCUGUGAAAGUCCAGGGCUCAACCCUGGAAUGCCGGUGGAUACUGUGGGGCUAGAGUCCGGAAGGGGCGAGUGGAAUUCCUGGUGUAGCGGUGAAAUGCGCAGAUAUCAGGAGGAACACCAAUGGCGAAGGCAGCUCGCUGGGACGUGACUGACGCUGA
rnacentral:rRNA from 1 species